UUGGACAUGACGGAGCAACUUUCACUUCACUAACCCACCAUCAUGUAAAUAUAGUACGUUGAAGCUCAAGAUGAAACUACACAGGAAGGAGGGUAAGGUCAAGAGGACUGGGAGCAAGGAGGCCAGAGAUGUUGGAUUCUAUCAUAUCUGAGGUCUGCUCUAAACUGUACUCCCAGAUUUCCUUUCUACUUAAGAAGAGUGGAGUGCACUGGGCCAGGUCAGGAGACUCACUAGAAAGUAUAGGGCCCCAUUUCAGAUUUCACCAGGGAAGUUCCUGAGGUUUUGAACAAACAGCAAGAGCACAAGAAAACUACUUUUGCUGGUAAUUCUUCCUUGUCCAGGUAAGAAAUAAAUUCAAUUUGUGUUCUUCA